CGGUGCGUGUUGACUUACAUGGUGACGAUUUUUACUUGCUGCAUGAAUAAAUUGGCUGUUUUUAUCAAAUUUGAAACGAUGAAUCUGAAAAAUUCUGAAGGAUUCUACAAAAUUAAACAAGGUAAGUCAAAAUUAAUAGUUUUCUUGCUAGAAAAAUUUACUAACAAAACAUUGAAACAAAAAGGUUUAUAAAUGAACAUAUUUUUAUUAAAGAUUCAGUUCGGUUCACAUAUUUAUAUCAAAAUUUAUAAUUGUGCUAUCCUCUUAUUCCAAAAGUGCAAUCAUCACAAAUCUAACGUUAACAUUCACGCCCCGUCAGUAAAAGGUCGUGAGUUUGAUAUUCGAUCAAGUAUAAAACAACGAAACAGGAGAUAAAUUACAAGGCGCUUUCAAUUUUAUCACAUAUUUCAAGCUCAAACAUAGCAAUAAUUCGAUUACAGUAUAAUUUAACAGUUACAGAAUACGGAAUGUAACCCUUUUCAAUAUAAGACACCUGUUGAAAUUCAUUUAUUGUUUGACUCGUUGCAAAUAUGCAGCCCAGAGUAAAUCUUUGUACUCCUUUGCGGCGUUUUCCGGAUUGCCAGCUUUGGUGAUUCCUCUGCCAACCACAGCUACAUCUGCACCGCCUUCCAGGAUAACCGAAGAUGGCGAAUUGUACUGCUGGCCUAAAUCAUCACCGCUAACACCCAGCUGGACACCAGGUGUCAAUUGCAAAUACCCCGGUUCAUCAACAAAUAGUUUCUGCUGGCAGACAUAACCAGCGAUCAAAUCCGAAUAGUUCUUUCCCAUUGUAAUGGUUGCGUUGGUAUACUUCUCAUCGAUAAGACUUCCCUUGGCGCUGCACUCAGCUAGCAAGAACACUCCGAGUUCAUUGGAGCCUCGAGCCAACAGCAACGCGUCUAGGACACCAUGUCCAGUCAAUGAGUGUGCAGUGACCAGUGAGGCCCAUGAAGCAAUCUUAUACACGCCUCUUGUAUACUGAUAUUCGACUGUUUUUCCAAUGUCAGCAAACUUGCGGUCUUCGAACAGCAAAAAGUUGUGCUUCUUGGCGAUCUGCGACAGAGUGCUGGUAAAAUUGUCGUUGAAAUGCUCCACGAUGUCGACGUGCAACUUCAGGGAGCAGAUAUGUGGGCCGACUGAUUCGGCAAGGUUCAGAAUAUCAGUGGCGUCGGUCAAAUCAGCAGCAAGGACAAGAUUCGUCUUCUUUUCAAUUAUGAUCUUGAAAAGGCGCUUGGCCACUUCGUUCUUAGCGUAGGGAAAACGAUCCUCGAAAGUCAUCUCCAGGCGUUUGCUGCGCUUUGUCACGACAGAAUUGGUGGUGACUUGAGAGUUUUUCAAAUAGUCCCCAACCUUCUUGCAGCUUUCUUCGGUGACGCAUCCAGCGUCUUUCAGAUAUUUCAUUAGAGAAGUCAUAGUGAGAAGAGCAUGCAUCUUGAUUCCAUGUUGUGUUAGAAACUUCUCACCGCCUUGUUCGCGAUUGAGAAGCACAAUUGCAUCAGUCACCUUCAUUCCUUCUUUGAUUAAAUCUUUUGUGGUCUCUAAAAUGUGAAAAAAUAAUAGUUUAACAAUGAUCUAAUCCAGAUCCCAUGAGACUGAUCAAUCAUGAAAUUAAAUUUCACAAAAUACAUGCAUUGGUCAAUAUUCUUCUGAUUUAAAUAGAAAUUUACCUAAAAUACUGCUGCCAGAGGUGACAACAUCUUCAAUAAUCAAACAUUUAUCUCCCUCUUGGAAGAUGCCCUCUAUGAGUUUCUUGGUGCCAUAAUCCUUGGCUUCCUUUCUUCUCAUCACCAUGGGUAGAUUGGUUUUAAAAGACACAAUUGUUGCAAUAGGCAAAGCAGUGUACGGCACACCACAAAUUACUUCUUGGCUCUCAAUGGUGUGAAGAGUGUCAAUGAUCAGGUCAGAAAGGAUACCCUAGUUUAAGAACACCAACAUUAGUAUACAUAUUACCGAUUAACAAACUUGGACGUUUCAUCAGACAAUAAAUAGACUGAAAACCUACCAUAAUUUUCGGAUAGCUAACCAAGACGCGAAGGUCGCAGUAUACAGGUGUCAUGAGGCCGACUUUAGUCUUGUAUUCGCCAAAUUUGAUUGCGUUUAUCUUGAAUAGUUCCACAGCAAACUCUUUCAACCUUAAUUCGCGCUGUUCCAUCGUGCUUAGUGGUAUAAACUGGAAAUUUGGAAACGAAAUUAAAAUAAACGUUCUAACCGCGUGUUGAACGUACGCCGCUGUUUGGAUCAAAUGCAGAGGUUGGAUUUUUCAAUGGCAGGCAACCACGAUGACAGCAAUGUACUUCAUCUCUCCAGAAGUUGUGAGCAGUUGUUAACAACAUUUAGUCGUUUAAACAUAGAUUUACAAUUUACACUUUAUGUAAAUACUAAUGUAAUCAGCAGGUGCCCAGCCUCUUGAAUCCAACCACACUGGAUAACAGCUUGUUUCAGAUUAAGAAUCAUUCUUACAUCAGACUGU